AGUGAACAAAAGCAUACCCCUCUAUUGUGUUGUGGUGUCUCUGCAGAAACAGCUAGGUGAAAAGGGCAACGCGUUCACUGUGCUCGAGGGCAGAUUUCUACAACUCCAAGAGAGUCAGUAGACCCUGAAGGCCAGUCAUGAAGCUGUGAUGGCCAAGAUGGACGAGCUCACGGGCCAUCUGAAAGAUGAGCAACUGAGGAGUCUUGGCCUGGAGAGACAACAAAAAGGCCAACUCAUUCUCAUAGAGGAGGAAACACAGUUGCAGGAGCGAAUCCAUGACCUGGAGAAGGAGAGAGAGCUGCUAAAAGAGAACUGUGAUAAACUAAUUAACAGAAGAGGCGCCAGCGGCAGAAGAUGA
rnacentral:lncRNA from 1 species